rnacentral:lncRNA from 1 species
CGGCUCAUCAGCCGGACGCCGACCCGUGCAUCAGCGCAGCCAGGUCCAAUUCAUCACUGCAGCCGUUUAUGAAACAUCCUAAUCUUUCUGAAUCGCAGCCCGGUGCUCUGGACUCUCACUGACGACAGUCUGAGCUGAUUAGUAUCAACAUCACUCGGAAAAAACUCACUUAAUCUUUUGGUUUGCGUCUAUUGAUUAUGUUUAUUAAUGAUCAUUUACUGUUUGACAUUUUGAAUCUGGCUGGUUUUUCUCUCCUUUUAAUUUACAGGUUCAUGGUCAUUUCACAUCUUACGCAUCGUUCCUUUCAGGAUACUUUGCACUGAACUCCUAAUUGAUUUUUUAUAGUCUCUCUUAUUUACCUUCCAUUCUGUUCUCUUUUCAUAUUUUAUUACAUUUUUCCCCUCUGUCCUCUCGUGGAUGCUAAAUGCUAACGCUAACUGUCUGCUGACAGACCAGCCGCUAACUGUCUGCUGACACACCUGCCGUCCUCUCAUGAUUCGCUGCCUCCGCUGCACUGGGAGUUUCCGGUUUCUUUGCUUCACAUUUGUAUAUUCCACAGCGAUUGUUUUUUUCUGUAUUUGUGACCAGAUCUAGCUUGAAAAGGAUUUGUUUGAAUUUUAAAUUGCAGAGAAGUGAAACAGAAAUCUCCUCCUCCAGGAGAGGAAUGCGAAAACACCAGAUACAAGUCCACUAUAAUAAUAAUAAUAAUAAAUUUCAUUUAUAGUCAAUAUCAGACGUUAUAGACAGAAACUGAAGAAAAACACUUUUUUGAGUGGAGGGGGACUUUAAUUAUUAAAGGUUGAAUGUUAUUACAGUAGUUUUAAUUCAUGACGUGUUUAUUUGGAUUGUGUCGUUGUGGCCAUUAGUCUCGUUUCAACACGUCACGCGGCUCGGUUAGUAAAAAUGUUAAAUGAAAAUCAAAGUGACACAAAUUGAGAUGGGAGACGAGUCAGAACUGAAAGACACGACUCAAGCUGUGUCCAAGUUCAGGCUCCGCCUCCUCCGAACGCUACAUCUGAGGAGCAAUUUGCGUCGCUCGAGUUGAAAUAUAUAUGAACCUGGUUGAAAUGAUCGUGGGACUCGAGCUAAAAAAGCUAAUUAGCAAUGAGAUUCUACCAAAGUCAGUGAAGUCCGAGUCCAAAAACAGGAAAGGUGAAGAUUCACG